AGAGUUUGAUCCUGGCUCAGGAUGAACGCUAGCGAUAGGCCUAACACAUGCAAGUCGAGGGGCAGCACAUGAAGUAGCAAUACAGAUGGUGGCGACCGGCGCACGGGUGAGUAACACGUAUGCAACCUACCUUCCACAGGAGAAUAACCCGUUGAAAAACGGACUAAUACUCCAUAAUACAGGGGUCCCGCAUGGGAAUAUUUGUUAAAGAUUUUUUUCGGUAGAAGAUGGGCAUGCGUUCCAUUAGCUAGUUGGUUGAGGUAACGGCUCACCAAGGCAACGAUGGAUAGGGGAACUGAGAGGUUUAUCCCCCACACUGGUACUGAGACACGGACCAGACUCCUACGGGAGGCAGCAGUGAGGAAUAUUGGUCAAUGGAGGCAACUCUGAACCAGCCACGUCGCGUGAAGGAUGACGGCCCUACGGGUUGUAAACUUCUUUUAUACAGGAAUAAAGUGAGUCACGUGUGACUUUUUGCAUGUACUGUAUGAAUAAGGAUCGGCUAACUCCGUGCCAGCAGCCGCGGUAAUACGGAGGAUCCAAGCGUUAUCCGGAUUUAUUGGGUUUAAAGGGUGCGCAGGCGGAAGAUUAAGUCGGCGGUGAAAUUUUGCAGCUCAACUGUAAAAGUGCCAUCGAUACUGGUUUUCUUGAGUGUGGAUGAAGUAGGCGGAAUUUGUGGUGUAGCGGUGAAAUGCAUAGAUAUCACGAGGAACUCCGAUUGCGCAGGCAGCUUACUAGGCCAUAACUGACGCUCAGGCACGAAGGCGUGGGGAUCAAACAGGAUUAGAUACCCUGGUAGUCCACGCAGUAAACGAUGAUUACUCGCUGUUUGCGAUACACAGUAAGCGGCUUAGCGAAAGCGUUAAGUAAUCCACCUGGGGAGUACGUUCGCAAGAAUGAAACUCAAAGGAAUUGACGGGGGCCCGCACAAGCGGAGGAACAUGUG
rnacentral:rRNA from 1 species